UUGAAUAAACUUGAACAGGCUGUUGCUGGUAUAUAAUAAUAUCCGUGCACGCUUGUCAUCUUUAUUUUCUCCAACUGUGCACAUGCUGUAGAUUCUGGAGUUACUGGUAUUUUUGAAAUAGAUUGAGGAUUGCUGUAAAGCUCUGCCUCACCAUUUCCAGAUCUAUGUUAUCUUUUAUGACCUCUGAAUGUGUCAGAAUGUUGAAUUGGAAAAUGAUGUAUAUACAACUUUCAGCAACGGAUCUCUUGGCUCUCGCAUCGAUGAAGAACGCAGCGAAAUGCGAUAAGUAAUGUGAAUUGCAGAAUUCAGUGAAUCAUCGAAUCUUUGAACGCAUCUUGCGCUCCUUGGUAUUCUGAGGAGCAUGCCUGUUUGAGUGUCAUCAAGUUCUCAACUGCACUGAUUUCUGGAUUGGUGUGGCUUUGGAUUUAUGGGGGUUUUUGUUUUGCAGGCUUUUUCAAGUCGGCUCCCCUGAAAUGCAUUAGUGGUGUCUGAGCAGAGACUACUGCAGGUGUGAUAAAUCAUCUAUCUAUGCCUCUGGUAGACUGCGUUGAACAGAUCAUGCUGCUUCUAACAAAGUGGACUUUAUAGUUUUGACAAAUCUGAC
rnacentral:sRNA from 1 species